rnacentral:rRNA from 1 species
UACGGGGGGGGGUAAGCGUUGUUCGGAAUUACUGGGCGUAAAGGGCUCGUAGGCGGCCAACUAAGUCGGACGUGAAAUCCCUCAGCUUAACUGGGGAACUGCGUCCGAUACUGGAUGGCUUGGAUUUGGGAGAGGGAUGCGGAAUUCCAGGUGUAGCGGUGAAAUGCGUAGAUAUCUGGAGGAACACCGGUGGCGAAGGCGGCAUCCUGGACCAACACUGACACUGAGGAGCGAAAGCCAGGGGGAGCAAACGGG